rnacentral:rRNA from 1 species
AGAGUUUGAUCAUGGCUCAGAUUGAACGCUGGCGGCAGGCCUAACACAUGCAAGUCGAGCGGUAGCACAGAGAGCUUGCUCUCGGGUGACGAGCGGCGGACGGGUGAGUAAUGUCUGGGAAACUGCCUGAUGGAGGGGGAUAACUACUGGAAACGGUAGCUAAUACCGCAUAACGUCGCAAGACCAAAGAGGGGGACCUUCGGGCCUCUUGCCAUCGGAUGUGCCCAGAUGGGAUUAGCUAGUAGGUGGGGUAACGGCUCACCUAGGCGACGAUCCCUAGCUGGUCUGAGAGGAUGACCAGCCACACUGGAACUGAGACACGGUCCAGACUCCUACGGGAGGCAGCAGUGGGGAAUAUUGCACAAUGGGCGCAAGCCUGAUGCAGCCAUGCCGCGUGUAUGAAGAAGGCCUUCGGGUUGUAAAGUACUUUCAGCGGGGAGGAAGGGAGUAAAGUUAAUACCUUUGCUCAUUGACGUUACCCGCAGAAGAAGCACCGGCUAACUCCGUGCCAGCAGCCGCGGUAAUACGGAGGGUGCAAGCGUUAAUCGGAAUUACUGGGCGUAAAGCGCACGCAGGCGGUUUGUUAAGUCAGAUGUGAAAUCCCCGGGCUCAACCUGGGAACUGCAUCUGAUACUGGCAAGCUUGAGUCUCGUAGAGGGGGGUAGAAUUCCAGGUGUAGCGGUGAAAUGCGUAGAGAUCUGGAGGAAUACCGGUGGCGAAGGCGGCCCCCUGGACGAAGACUGACGCUCAGGUGCGAAAGCGUGGGGAGCAAACAGGAUUAGAUACCCUGGUAGUCCACGCCGUAAACGAUGUCGAUUUGGAGGUUGUGCCCUUGAGGCGUGGCUUCCGGAGCUAACGCGUUAAAUCGACCGCCUGGGGAGUACGGCCGCAAGGUUAAAACUCAAAUGAAUUGACGGGGGCCCGCACAAGCGGUGGAGCAUGUGGUUUAAUUCGAUGCAACGCGAAGAACCUUACCUGGUCUUGACAUCCACAGAACUUUCCAGAGAUGGAUUGGUGCCUUCGGGAACUGUGAGACAGGUGCUGCAUGGCUGUCGUCAGCUCGUGUUGUGAAAUGUUGGGUUAAGUCCCGCAACGAGCGCAACCCUUAUCCUUUGUUGCCAGCGGUCCGGCCGGGAACUCAAAGGAGACUGCCAGUGAUAAACUGGAGGAAGGUGGGGAUGACGUCAAGUCAUCAUGGCCCUUACGACCAGGGCUACACACGUGCUACAAUGGCGCAUACAAAGAGAAGCGACCUCGCGAGAGCAAGCGGACCUCAUAAAGUGCGUCGUAGUCCGGAUUGGAGUCUGCAACUCGACUCCAUGAAGUCGGAAUCGCUAGUAAUCGUAGAUCAGAAUGCUACGGUGAAUACGUUCCCGGGCCUUGUACACACCGCCCGUCACACCAUGGGAGUGGGUUGCAAAAGAAGUAGGUAGCUUAACCUUCGGGAGGGCGCUUACCACUUUGUGAUUCAUGACUGGGGUGAAGUCGUAACAAGGUAACCGUAGGGGAACCUGCGGUUG